UACCCGCGGUACCGACGGCACGGUGCGAGCCGUGCCUCGAGCGCGCGCGACACCGGCUCGGGUCCGGUUUCGAGAACGCGCGGCCCCUGCCUCGAGCGCACGCGGCACCGACCCGGCCUCGUCUGCGUGCGGGUACGGCCUCGAGGAAUACAUAUAUUGUAAAUGGUUCCUUCUUGUUGACCUUCGGGAUCUCAGCCUUUUUCUUCGUUAUCUCGUCUCCUUCGCCGACCUCCUGUUGCCCGCGUGAUGAGCCAAGUCAAUCUGGUCGGGGUAUUGGGUGUCGGUGUUGCCACCAGAACACAGGUUUCCAAGGAAUAGGAAGGGGUUGUCCGUAGUGGAGGAGAAGAAGUGUUCCAGGUAGCAGAGAAGGAUGGUGGUUUAGUUGGGGUCUUGACUGGUUACGUGAACCCUAGCCUGGUGGGUGGUACGGUUAGGAGUCGGAGAGGCGCUUCGGCGACAGAGCGGAGGGACGUUUUGCUCCUAACAGUUCUAAUUCAUCCCACGUCUUGGAACGCAAAUGCUGCAGCUCCUAUUCCUAGUGGUACGAGUUCGUUGUCCUAGUAGGCCCCUUACUUUCGCCGUCGUCCGGAGACAUGGAGCCCUAUCUGAAACCUUGAAGGCCGCGGUCUAUGCGUGAAUAGCUGUUCGUUCCCCGGUAGGUAAGGCUUCCGUUUUCUUGAAUGGGUCGACAACCUGUUUGGUGGUUGACCCGUUCGAGGACCUCUCUUCGUGAGAAGGUCGAAGAACCGCUGUAAGGCAGGCAAGUGGUCGGUAGUCAGAGUAGGUAGAGGUAACUACCCUGAAGUAGUUGGUGAGAGUAGUAACUAUCUUUGUUACCUCUCGAAGAACGGCCGGGAAAGGAGAUGUUACUCUCGAAGGGACUACGCGACGGGUACUAGUCGAGCUAACGAGGGCGUUUAGUGUGUCACACGAGACCAAGCAGGUGGGAUACGUUCGAGCAGAGUACCACCUUGUUCGUAACAAACUUACCGCCGCUACUAAGCCGCUAUGACUACGUGGUUAGUCUGACCGACGACACCGAAAACGUACCUCUUAUGCCGCAAACACUAAUGUUGUUAUGAGAGUUCUCGUGGGCCUCAAGGGUAACCGGGUUAGUUUCUUCUACACGCGAGUGUUAUACCGAAAAGCUUACUGACACACCAGACAUGACCCUGUUGGCUGUCGUAGCGACGGAAAGAACGUCGUGCUUGGUGACUAGGUCCUUUUCGCCACUGCAGCGACCCAAGUUGCGAGCGCUAGUUCGAGCAGUCGUCUCAGGCGCACCUUCUGCGUUCCAAGCCGCAGAUGUCGGUGGCGGACCUGCUGGUCACCGAGCAGCCGCCCCGCAGGUUGUCGCCCCCACACCACGAGGCCGUUGAGAAGUCGUUGCUGGUCGACCACUGCGACUCGUCCCUGUAGCUGGGCAGUAGAGGAAGGGGAGAACUGAUGAUGGGAGACGGGUUCUUCCCGCUCUCCAAGGGACAGAGACUGGGGCUGUACCUCGGCUCCGACCUCGGAGCUGGGCUGUCGCUACGGCUCAUGAACGUGCCGUAUAACCUCAGGUACCGCGCGUAACUCCAGCGAUUAAUUGUGAGAGCGCGGGAACUAUUGUCCUCGUGAAAAAGCUCUUUCUAUUCGUCAUCGAGCAUGCUUGACUUGACCAAUGACUUUACAACGACUUAUAUUUAUACCUACGUCCGGUCACCCAUGUUUGACGACUUCCUCGAGCCGCGUUGCGGCCACCUCCUCCAGAAAUGCCGUCCCCCUCCGCGCGUCUUACUCUUCACCUGCCGUUAGGCCCUCUCUCAGGAACCCCACGGACAAACCUUCCGUCUCGUCUGUCUCCGCCGCAUGCCUCGACGUAACGAUCGUGAGUCCCCACGAUGGUGCCCGAGUACUUUUGUGUGAGUCCCCACGGUAAAAGAAAAGUUAGGGUCAUCUUAGUAACUCAAGUUAUAUGGGGAAAAAUUUACUCAUUUUUUAGAUGUUAGUAUUGAUCUGGCUCGUAACGUUGGGAACGUUUAAGUUUCACGUUAUUUAAACAACGAAAUGACUGUAAUACAUUCAUAUAGUCCCUGCCACAUACUUGAUACAUCGGUUCUAUUGUAAAACAGAGUGAGUUACCAAACUG
rnacentral:rRNA from 1 species